AAGGCUGUAGCACAGUGGGAGAGCAUCUGCUUUGCAUGUAGAAGGCCCCAGGUUCAGAUCCCUGGCAGCAUCU